CGUUGACUCAUUAAUGUGUCCCCUCCACUGCCAUUCAAUCAUCCACUCUCCAACUACAUAUAUGUUGGUUCGGCGCUCCAAUUUUCUUCCGUCUUCAUCGGUCUUCUCUUCUCAUCCUUUCACUUUCCUUAGUUGCUCCUAUUCUGUCUUCUCCAGUCUUCUCCAAUGGCAAGGAAGGCGGUGCUCAACCUCACGUUCAUGGCGAACGAUGAGACGAGGCGAAGAGCCAUGAAGGCUGUUGCAGAAGUCCCUGGAGUCAAUUCAGUUGCAGCUGAUAUUGGGCAGCACAAACUGACCAUCGCAGGAGAGAUGGAUAUAAUUGUAGUGGCCAAGAAGCUCAAGAAAAUUGGAAAAGUAGACGUCGUAUCAUUCUCGUCAUAAAUUUCUAGAUCUGAUUUCUAGAAAUUUCGAUGGUAUUGAAAGGUUGGAGAUAAGAUGUUUUAUUUAUAUAUAACUCAAAAGGGUAUAUGCAUAAUACGAAAAAUUUAUGCAUAAACUCUUCUUCUUAUAAAUUAAGUCUGUGUUGUAUUACACAAAAGUGAGGAUAAAGGAGGCCCUCUUGAUGUUGAUAUGUUUGCUAUGAAUGCAAUUUGAGUGUAAUAUUAGGUCUGUAUGAUGUAUGUAUAAGCUAGCUUUUGUAUUCAGUGGGAAUCAAAUCUGAUUUUGCCAUUCUGAAUCCUCCUGUGCUUUAAAUAGAAGUUGCUUGUGCAAAA